rnacentral:rRNA from 1 species
GACGAACGCUGGCGGCGUGCUUAACACAUGCAAGUCGAACGGUAAGGCCCUUCGGGUACACGAGUGGCGAACGGGUGAGUAACACGUGGGUGAUCUGCCCUGCACUUCGGGAUAAGCUUGGGAAACUGGGUCUAAUACCGGAUAGGACCACGGUCUGCAUGGAUUGUGGUGGAAAGCUUUUGCGGUGUGGGAUGGGCCCGCGGCCUAUCAGCUUGUUGGUGGGGUGAUGGCCUACCAAGGCGACGACGGGUAGCCGGCCUGAGAGGGUGACCGGCCACACUGGGACUGAGAUACGGCCCAGACUCCUACGGGAGGCAGCAGUGGGGAAUAUUGCACAAUGGGCGCAAGCCUGAUGCAGCGACGCCGCGUGAGGGAUGACGGCCUCGGU